rnacentral:misc_RNA from 1 species
CAGAGUUCAUGCCCUCACGGGUAGACCUCCCACCCUUGUGUAUUUAUACUUUGUUGCUUUGGCGGAGUGCUUAGUUUAACGACCAAGCUUUAGACUCUCAGCUCUAUUGAGUUAAGCGUCCUCCGCCAGAGGAAACUUAAAUUCUGAUUAUCAGUGUUGUCUGAGUACUAUAUAAUAGUUA